rnacentral:rRNA from 1 species
GCAUCUGUGCAUGCAGCAUAUCAAUAAGCGGAGGAAAAGAAACUAACAAGGAUUCCCCUAGUAACGGCGAGUGAAGCGGGAAGAGCUCAAAUUUGAAAUCUUAAAGGGUUUCCCUUUACGAAUUGUAGUUUAAAGAAGUGUUUUCUGUUGAGGUUUUGGUAAAAGUUCUUUGGAAUAGGACAUCAUAGAGGGUGAGAAUCCCGUAUUUGACCUUUACUUUCAACUUUGUGAUACACUUUCAAAGAGUCGGAUUGUUUGGGAAUGCAGUCCAAAAUGGGUGGUAAAUUUCAUCUAAAGCUAAAUAUUGGCGAGGAGACCGAUAGCGAACAAGUACCGUGAGGGAAAGAUGAAAAGAACUUUGAAAAGAGAGUUAAACAGUACGUGAAAUUGUCAAAAGGGAAGCGUUUGACACCAGUGUUGUUUUUCUGAAAAUCAAUUAAAGAACUGUUUAUGCUAAGCUGUUUAGACUUUAUCAGCUAUCUGUUUAGUUUUGAGCUUUUCUUUAAUGCACUUUUCAGUUAACAAGUCAACAUCAAUUUCUUUUGCUGUAAAAAAGCUUGAGGAAGGUGGCUUGAGAUUCGUCUUAAGUGUUUAUAGCCUCUUGCCUAUGCAGUCGGAGAGAUUGAGGUCUGCAGCGUAGAUCCUUCGGGGCUAAAUGCAUUUGUGCUAAGUUAUAGCAUUUUAUAGACAACUUGUUGACUAUGAUUUGUCUUGUAGCUUACUCGCUUAUGUUAUUUUACCUACGCUUAGGAUGUUGAGUCGUAGAGCACGCAG